UCUAAUGAGAACUCUCUCACUUCCCCUCCGGUUAGACUGAUGAUUUGAAGUCAAUCUGUUUCUGGGAAAUCACGUUACAUUAAAAUCUUAAAAAGACUUCACUGCAGUCUAUAAGGUACUCUGUCUCCGAGACAGUUUCUGGUAAAUCAUGUGACCCCAGAGCCUCCUCCCCUUCAUGAAGGUAUAUUAAAUGUUCUCUGCAUCAUCAGCAUCACAGACCAACAACACAGACAGUGUCAGUAGUCGAUGUGUCACCGAGCUUCAGGACCUCCAAAUAUAUUUCAGUGACCCGGACUUUAAAAACUCAGGUAUGUAUCGCGGGUUGGAUGUUUUUCUGCUGAAUCAGUCUGUUUGUUGAGACUGCUGCUGCUCUGCUCCUGAGAUCAACAGGCCUUUCAAUGGUUCCCC